UACGAAGGGGGCUAGCGUUGCUCGGAAUCACUGGGCGUAAAGGGUGCGUAGGCGGGGCUUUAAGUCAGGGGUGAAAUCCUGGAGCUCAACUCCAGAACUGCCUUUGAUACUGAGGAUCUUGAGUUCGGGAGAGGUGAGUGGAACUGCGAGUGUAGAGGUGAAAUGCGUAGAUAUCGGGAGGAACACCAGUGGCGAAGGCGGCUUCCUGGCCUGUUCUUGACGCUGAGGCGCGAAAGCUAGGGUAGCAAACGGG
rnacentral:rRNA from 1 species